GUGGGCAUUAAAAGUGUUUUAAUUACUUAGUAUACCAGUAAAGAUUAUAAUUCCCCAUGCUGAGAGCAUGACAUAACGUGACAUGAACAGAGUUAAGUAUGACUUCAAAUCAGAUGGGGAAGACAGUGCACAGGUAUGGCUAUGGACUGUUAUUUCCUUAUAGAACAAAAUAAAAAGGAGCCUAGUAUCUUUUUCAUGUAUAUAGUUAUUUACUGCAUCAAAGGAGAGUUCUGGUAGGGAAAUAAUGGUUAUUUUUUUUCUCCCAGUGAGAAAGGACAGCUUUCAAGUAAAGAGGUGAAAAUUGGCUUGAUAACUCAGAAUAAAAAAGAAUUACCUUUGCCUGAAAUAUCCAAAGGCUCAGAAUUGGAAACCUGGAAGUUCCAGUGCCAGCACUGUCUGGUGACCCUGGAGGCAUCAGAGCCUUAAUGGGAGGGGAGACAUCUAAUGACAUUCCUCAUUACAGACAAGCCAAACAUAAGAACAGAAGACAGGGUCAUCAGCUAAGCAAACUGAGGACAACCACCAAGAAGCGGAGAGACCAUCCUUCCAUCAACAGAGGCUAGCAAUAGAGGAUGACACUGGGAUCAGAUGCUCUUUUCCAAAUAUGAGGAGGAGGGCAUGUAUCACUCUGGCAACAAGAGAAAGAGAAAGGGUAUUUACUUACAAGGUCAGUUCCUGCUCUUUAUAAAAAGGGUUGAAGUAUUUGUUUGGAAGCCAGGUGUUAUUCUGCAACUCAUGAAAGCUGGUAGCUAUGGUCCUCUCAAGGUAUGACUGUUAAUAACAGCUACAGAUACCACUUCAGUUCUGCUGCCAGCUUUACAGUUGAGGGGCUGUUAAAUGCACAUAAUUAUUCCAGUAAAACCCCAUGGAUUAUCCCUGCCUUAUGGGAAAAAGUGAUAUCUUCGCAGUUUUGUUAAGAUGUCCAUGCCCAUCAAAGGAUACAAGAUGACAUCUGUUAAAUUUAGUGCUUAAAAUAUCUGACUUUUUCAGCAUCCAAUGCAAUACAGUUGGCAUGGUGCCUUUCCCCAAAAUAGGCUUAUUAAAGGUGGGGCGCCUGGGUGGCUCAGUGGUUGAGCAUCUGCCUUCAGCUCAGGGUGUGAUCCUGGGGUUCUGGGAUUGAAUCCCGCAUUCUGGGAUUGAAUCCCGCAUCAGGCUUCCCAUAGGGAGCCUGCUUCUCCUUCUGCCCAUGUCUCUGCCUUUCUCUGUGUCUUUCAUGAAUAAAUAAGUAAAAUCUAAAAAAACA
rnacentral:lncRNA from 1 species